rfam:Salmo salar isolate Sally breed double haploid chromosome ssa07, whole genome shotgun sequence.
GGUACAUAUGUAUUGUAAGUCGCUCUGGAUAAGAGCGUCUGCUAAAUGACGUAAA